UUUUUUUUAUAGUUGCAGAUUGCAAAAUUUAACUUCAGUAAAAUUGAUAUUGGUGGAAGUCAUUUCUAGGUGUAGUAAAAAACACAUGCAUAUAAAAAGUAUUGAUUACACAUGGAAAUUAUGACCUGCUCUUCAACAAAUAGAUUGAUUUGGGCAAUGUUUGUUGGCUAAAUGAGUUGAUUUGGGUCUACUCGUAUUACAAAACCUCUCACCCUUAUAAAACUUAUUGAGUUAAAUCGUCAAAAAAAUGAUUUUGACUUUAUCUGGUUAACCAUGAGAGUUUGCCGCUUUUUGGAGAGAAAAAAGAUGAGAAAAUAUGAAUUAGAGUUAAAUGCCUAACCGUUGUCAUUGCUUCACAAUGAGCUUUAGAGACUCCAUUAACUGUGCGUGAACAAACAAUGGACAAGUUCACCACUCAAAUAUUAUGACAACUCAAUUGCCAAUAUUACUAUUAAAAGGUGGAUUAGUAUAUUGAACCAUAUUAAUAAACAUUAUCCAGAUUUUGUAUAUACCUUUUAAAGCACCUCCUCAUCAAUAGACAUUCGAUACAGUCGUAAAUAAUCUUGUCGUAUCUACUUUUUCAACUUCAUAAACGCAAAGUUUGAGUUAUAUAUAACCUGUAAGCGCAUGUAAAUAUAAAGAACUAUUAAAUCAAAAUAAAUGUCUUCACAUCACCAUUACUCUCCUAAACUCAAGCCCCACAAUAUGCAUUUAUACAGCCAUGACCAGGAGAGUAAGAAAAAAAAACAAAGCAUUAAGUGAAUUAAACCGAGUGGAAAACAGUUUAGUAGGCCAUAUUUACCUUACUUAAAGCAUCGUUGUUGUCUUCUUCAGCCCUCCACCGUUUUAUUGACUACUCAAAUGCUUUCUAAUUUGAUUUCUCAGCAUCCUUAGUGGCAUAUUUGAGUCUAUCCUACAAACCAGAAGAUGAAAGCCCUUGUGGCCGUUCCUUAUAGAAGCAUAUGAUAUCCACAAAUACUCUUUCAUCAACAUAGCUUAAUGUGGGUAAAUACAAAACAAUUGAUACGGAAAGUUAGUACUAAUGAAUGGGUCAAUUUGAUUGUGAUUUACCUUAGAGAUGCCAUAUAAACUUAUUUUAAGUAAAAGAGGAGUCGGUCAAUCAGUUUUAAUAGAAUCAUGAUAUGGAUAAGCCACUAAAAACACAUAUAUGAUUUAUCAUUGUAUCUUGUUAUUAUUUCAAAACAAUGUACUCACUAAAUUGACCAGUUAUAUAUACCAUUAUAUGAACAUGAGGCUCAGUGUCAAAAUAAACAAAUUGGUUGCUGUGACUUAUCUCAAAUGGGUCAAAUAGUUAUUUUUUUUCAAAGACCAGUUAAAACUUAAAAGUCGCCCAUAGUCUAUUUCAGUAAGAACAUGUUUCAACAAAAGCCUACUUUCACCCGUUGCCCAACCGUGAUAAUAAUAGCAAUAAUGUUUUCAGAUCAUAAUUAACUAAAUAACCAUCACUAAAAACCUUUACAACAAAUUGGUGUCUGGCCUGACAUCUAUGAACUUUACUAAAAACGUUUUGACAUAUUAC
rnacentral:lncRNA from 1 species